GGCGAACGCUGGCGGCGUGCUUAACACAUGCAAGUCGAACGGUAAGGCCCCAGCUUGCUGGGGUACACGAGUGGCGAACGGGUGAGUAACACGUGGGUGACCUGCCCCGCACUUCGGGAUAAGCCUGGGAAACUGGGUCUAAUACCGGAUAGGACCGCACCGUGAGGGUGUGGUGGAAAGUUUUUCGGUGUGGGAUGGGCCCGCGGCCUAUCAGCUUGUUGGUGGGGUAAUGGCCUACCAAGGCGGCGACGGGUAGCCGGCCUGAGAGGGUGGACGGCCACAUUGGGACUGAGACACGGCCCAGACUCCUACGGGAGGCAGCAGUGGGGAAUAUUGCACAAUGGGCGGAAGCCUGAUGCAGCGACGCCGCGUGGGGGAUGACGGCCUUCGGGUUGUAAACUCCUUUCACCAUCGACGAAGGUUUUCUGACGGUAGAUGGAGAAGAAGCACCGGCUAACUACGUG
rnacentral:rRNA from 1 species